rnacentral:lncRNA from 1 species
CUUAUAAUUUGUUUUAUGCAAUGUUUUAGAAGACUUAUUUAUUGCAUUGAGUAUUCAGUUUGUUUGCAUUACUUCAUCCCAGAGAACAAUAUGUUUGAAAAUAAAAUUGAGGGCCGUGAUCGUCAAGUACUAUUAGAAAAACUAUAUACCUUGCAUAGUUACGAUUGGCGAUGCAUUUUAUUUUCAGAUCAAGUAUCAGAGUUUCAAGAACUCGUGCGGUAUUUUAACAUGGAUCAGCACCUAUCGUUUGCAUUUCAUGUUGAAAACACAACUAGUUCCUUGAUAUUGAAGUUAGCUCAUAUGAAUUUCCUCUUAGGUUUCAAUGCGAAUAACGCAUUGCUUUGUUCUUCGUAUAUAAGAGCAAUACAAAAGUCAUUUUCAUGUGACCAAACUUUGAUCAAAUACUUUUAUACAUAUUACAUGUCAAUGAUCUGUUCCAUUCGUGCCCAGUAUAUUCCACUUAACAGUACACACAGUAACAAUAAAUACCAAUACCGACAGUACACGUCCUGUCUUUGUAUUCUGCUGCAGAAUAUCUAUCAUGACGCUGUAUCUGGAUGGCUGAUGUUAGCUUCGUUCUUUUAUAAAACAAAACAAUACGCAAAAGCUUUGCGAAUCAUCAUGUAUUCUUUAUCGAAAUGCACUUUUGACAAACUUAACUGGGGUAUGUCGGAUAUUAAUCACCGAUGGUUGAAACUGAAAUCAGUGCAGAAUAUGUGUAUUGUUCGCCCAUGGAAAUUACUACUUGUAGAUACCAUCAGUUUUUAUAAAUACUCUCAUUUGUUACCAGACGAACUGCUUUCAAGGACAAAGAAUACACAUGUUUCGUUUCAGCGUAUGCUUAUUUCCUCAAAUUUCUUUGUCAUUAUCAUCUAAAUAAUGGCCGACACUGUCAGGAUGACCUUGACGAUCUACGACUUGUUAUAGAAGAACAUUAUUUAAUGGCAGAUUUGAUUAUGAUAGCAUCACCAUAUGGCCUCAGAUCACAAUUAAUUCCCUUUGUUCGUGGUCUAGGAAUAUAGUUCCCAAUUAUUAUAUGGGGUAUUUCUUCCCAAGUAAUCUGUCUACUGUUUUCUUUGAAAUGUUUACUAUUUAAGUGGUCCUAUCAGUUGCAUAUAUAUUGAAAUAAGUAAAACAUGUGGAAAAAAAUUAUUGUUGAAAGUGAAAGUAGUGAUUUGGCCAAAAUGAAAGUAGGGUAGAAAUCAGCCUUCGUCAUUUAUUCAAGAUUCCAAUCCUACCAUUGGCAUGCUAAUAGGGCCCUCAAAAGAAAAAGCACUGAUGGAUUGUCCUGGGACAAGCAUAUUUUAUUAGAAUAAUAAUGGUCUAUAAGCAGUUAAAUUUAUUUCAUGUUUGUAGCGGUGCAAAUUUUUUAAUUCAAUUUGACUUUAACUAAAAAAUGCAUUGUAGCCAAGGGGAAGAAUAAUUGUGUUCUGAGGCCUAGGAGAUGAGUUUGGACAAAACACAAUUAUUGUAAAUAAAGGGUCUAACAGGUAACAACAUGAUCUUUGUCUGAUUACUUUUCAAGAAAGAAAACAGAAAUUACACAAAGUCUAUCAAAAUAAGACAUUUUUACCAUAUUUGGGCAUAUGAGGCAGAUAUUGGCAUUUUUUAAAGUUUACAUGAUUUCUAAUGAAAAUUAAAGGAAUAAAAUUGUGAGAAUGUACCACAUUACUUCAUUAAAUCAUAAGGGUACCUUAUAAAUGCAAUUUAAUAAGGUUUUACAAAACUGAGUUGAUCCUGGGACAUAACAUGACAUACAAAGACAUUUAAAAAUAAUGAAAAAUAAAAUGUUUUAAAAAAUUUAAAAGUGUCAAGUCUAAAUUACUUUUAGUUGUUUAGAAGUAAAUAACCAAUAGGUGGGAUAGAUUGAAGGGAAUAAAUCAAUUUUUUAGUGUUUAUUCAUCCACAAUUAUGCUUUUUAUGUCUGUACCUUUAUCAUACUGACCAAUUCUGAUUUAAUACACAUAGAGAUAUAGAUAUGAAAAAUAAUGGCAUAUAAGUGGCAGUUUGCUUUAGCAGUUGUCUCAUUUCAACUAAAUACAAGUUAUGUUAACUGGAUCAAGGCUUAUUUUGGGAAAACAAUACCAAAAAAAUAUUUUCUGAAUAAAAUUUUGACUGAAUUCUUAAAACUUUGCAAAUAGCAUGUUCCGCAGACAUAUAUACUAAUAUAAAAACAUUCCAAACUUUUUUAUUAUUUGUCAGAAUGUAAUAAAAUUUGGCAUUUAUACUACUAAGAUAUAAUGCUAAGUAACUGUAAAGUUUCAUAUGGAUACUUUAAUUUUUUGAGGUCUAAUAGGCCUCAGAUCACAAUUAAUUCCCUUUGUUCGUGGUCUAGGAAUAUAGUUCCCAAUUAUUAUAUGGGGUAUUUCUUCCCAAGUAAUCUGUCUACUGUUUUCUUUGAAAUGUUUACUAUUUAAGUGGUCCUAUCAGUUGCAUAUAUAUUGAAAUAAGUAAUACAUGUGGAAAAAAAUUAUUGUUGAAAGUGAAAGUAGUGAUUUGGCCAAAAUGAAAGUAGGGUAGAAAUCAGCCUUCGUCAUUUAUUCAAGAUUCAAAUCCUACCAUUGGCAUGCUAAUAGGGCCCUCAAAAGAAAAAGCACUGAUGGAUUGUCCUGGGACAAGCAUAUUUUA